GGCAAAAGAAGACAGACUUUCCAGCUCUCAAAGUAUUGGAUGAUGCCAGCCUACAUGGGUUUUCUGUCACUUGAAGAAAGUGAAUUAAUGACAGCACAGCAAGAACUUCCUUCCAUGGCAAGAGGCAUUUAGUUCAGCCUUAAAAGUGUUUGAUACACUGAACAUCCUUAAAAUCGGUGCCUGUGGAAGUGGAAAGAAGAUUGAUGAGUCUUCCCAAAAAUAAAAGAAGAAAAGAAGUUUAAGAAACAUUUUAUUCAUGGAACCACAGAGGAGGAGAGAGAAGACAAGUAUAAUCCCAUUUAUAGUUCUUAAGUUUUUUUUUAAAGUUGUGUCAGGAAAAUAUACCUAUCAACUGGCCCUGUUGCAAAUUCAUUUUUUUUAAUUGAAGUACAGUUGAUUUACAAUGUUGUAUUAGUUUCAGGUGUACAACAAAGUGAUUCCGUAUGCAUAUAUUCUUUUUUCAGAUUCUUUUUCCCUUAUAGGUUAUUAAAAAAUAUUGAGUAUAGUUCCCUGUGCUAUAUAGUAAGUCCUUUUUGGUUAUCUAUUUUAUACAUAGUGGUGUGUAUAUGUUAAUCCCAAACUCCUAAUUUAUCCCUCAUUCCCUCCUUCCCCCUUGGUAACCGUAAGUUUGUUUUCUAUGUCUGUGGGUUUAUUUCUGUUUUGUAAAUAAGUUCACUUGUAUCACUUUUUUAGAUUCCACAUAUAAGUGAUAUUAUAUGAUAUUUGUCUUUCUCUGUCUGACUUACUUCACUCAGUAUGAUAAACUCCAGGUC